AUCGCUUCUCGGCCUUUUGGCUAAGAUCAAGUGUAGUAUCUGUUCUUAUCAGUUUAAUAUCUGAUACGUCCUCUAUCCAAAUGAAUUUAAAUGAAUUCAUAUCACAAUGCCAGCAAGGCGGCUAGGGGUGUAGCUUAGUGGUAGCCUGACUGUUUAGCAAGUGUGAGGUCUUGUGUUCAUUCCCCAGUGUCACUUAAAAAAUA
rnacentral:snRNA from 1 species